UGCUGGUUGUGCCUCCCUGUAAUCCCAGCUACUUGGGAGGCUGAGGCAUGAGAAUUGCUUGAACCUGGGAGGCAGAGGUUGCAGUGAGCUGAGAUCAUGCCACUGCAUUCUGGUUUGUGAGACUCUGUCUCAAAAAACAAACAAACCAAAAAUUAGUGAGGCAUGGUGGUGCGCACCUGCAGCUUCAGCUGCUUGGGAGGCUGAGGCAGGAGGAGAUCGAGACCA
rnacentral:lncRNA from 10 species